CAUAGGUUAAUGAGGCGAACCGGGGGAACUGAAACAUCUAAGUACCCCGAGGAAAAGAAAUCAACCGAGAUUCCCCCAGUAGCGGCGAGCGAACGGGGAGCAGCCCAGAGCCUGAAUCAGUGUGUGUGUUAGUGGAAGCGUCUGGAAAGGCGCGCGAUACAGGGUGACAGCCCCGUACACAAAAAUGCACAUGCUGUGAGCUCGAUGAGUAGGGCGGGACACGUGGUAUCCUGUCUGAAUAUGGGGGGACCAUCCUCCAAGGCUAAAUACUCCUGACUGACCGAUAGUGAACCAGUACCGUGAGGGAAAGGCGAAAAGAACCCCGGCGAGGGGAGUGAAAAAGAACCUGAAACCGUG
rnacentral:rRNA from 1 species